rnacentral:rRNA from 1 species
CCUACGGGAGGCAGCAGUGGGGACUAUUGCACAAUGGGGGGAACCCUGAUGCAGCGACGCCGCGUGGGUGAAGGAGUGCUUCGGCAUGUAAAGCCCUAUCGGCAGGGAAGAAGCAAGACGGUACCUGACUAAGAAGCCCCGGCUAACUACGUGCCAGCAGCCGCGGUAAUACGUAGGGGGCGAGCGUUAUCCGGAUUAACUGGGUGUAAGGGGAGCGUAGACGGCCAUGCAAGCCAGGGGUGAAAGCCCGGGGCCCAACCCCGGGACUGCCCUUGGAACUGCAUGGCUGGAGUGCGGGAGGGGCAGGCGGAAUUCCUGGUGUAGCGGUGAACUGCGUAGAUAUCAGGAGGAACACCGGCGGCGAAGGCGGCCUGCUGGACCGCGACUGACGUUGAGGCUCGAAAGCGUGGGGAGCGAACAGGAUUAGAUACCCGAGUAGUC